GAGGGUGUUCAGGUGUGUUCAGGUUGGCCUAUCUUAAAAGAAGUCUAAUAGGAGAGAGAGAGUGUCGUCAGUCAAUCAAAGUCUGUUCACGCCUACACGUGCUAAACAAGUAAAAGUGGAAACACCUGUUAGGGUGCAGCAGAUCUGUUCACCUCCAGUGACACAGCCUGCAAGCUGAAGCAUCCAUAGCCAGCGAGGAAUAAACAAUGCCGGACAUCUUUGUGAUUUGGGAAGAUCAUAUGUGUGGAAAGGUAACGCCUGACCGUGGAGAAAGAAUGACUUUAAAGAUGAUGGUACUGGAGAAGUGAUGAUCUUUUACAGAGGCAAAACAGUUUCCGUAGUCACAGUUAAAUAUAAGGAGCCAGAUCUGAAAGCAACAUGCAGAAUCAUUGAACUUCCCUGCUAAGGUCAAUUAACUGACUUGAGGAAGGACCUCUGGGACUGUCAAGUGUAACAGGAAAAAAAAAAAUCACAUGACAAUUGCAUUAUACAACUGCUUAGCUGUUAUGUGCAAUAGAUGUCCACUAGGGUGCAGUAGGACACAGUAAGAGGAUUGAAGCAGCUUGCACAAGGCUCUCAUGCUGAUAAGGUGAUGUGUUCAGUGAAAGGAGGCGAGGCUCGUACCAGCAGGAGAACCAGAAGAGAGGGGUCAAAGGAGUGAAAGGGACAUGUUUAACAUGGUUACCUCUGGACUGAGGCAAACAUACAGGCAGCCCCUUUCCUGUUGGUACUAAAGAGUAAAGCUGGACUCGAAGGAGAAGAACACACAUGGCUGUUUGACAAAAACUUACCAUACCUUUUUAUAUAGUGUAUUAUCUUGCCUAAAAUGAAACGCAGCUUGAAUGAAACAGGUGGUGAAAAG